GAUGAACGCUGGCGGCGUGCCUAAUACAUGCAAGUCGAGCGAACAGACGAGGAGCUUGCUCCUCUGACGUUAGCGGCGGACGGGUGAGUAACACGUGGAUAACCUACCUAUAAGACUGGGAUAACUUCGGGAAGCCGGAGCUAAUACCGGAUAAUAUAUUGAGCCGCAUGGUUCAAUAGUGAAAGACGGUUUUGCUGUCACUUAUAGAUGGAUCCGCGCCGCAUUAGCUAGUUGGUAAGGUAACGGCUUACCAAGGCAACGAUGCGUAGCCGACCUGAGAGGGUGAUCGGCCACACUGGAACUGAGACACGGUCCAGACUCCUACGGGAGGCAGCAGUAGGGAAUCUUCCGCAAUGGGCGAAAGCCUGACGGAGCAACGCCGCGUGAGUGAUGAAGGUCUUCGGAUCGUAAAACUCUGUUAUUAGGGAAGAACAAAUGUGUAAGUAACUAUGCACGUCUUGACGGUACCUAAUCAGAAAGCCACGGCUAACUACGUG
rnacentral:rRNA from 1 species